rnacentral:lncRNA from 1 species
GGGUGUAAGUGACUGAAAUUCCUUAAAUUAAGGCUAUAGAUGUUCCCCUAUCUAUAUACUUGCAAUAGUAAAGAUGUAGUUUCUAAACGUAAAAUAUUCAGUAGCACAAUACAUAUUCUUUCAGAUAUCAAAUUGGUAACACAAAUAAAAGUGAGGUAAGAACCAGCUGAUGAAAAGGUGGUAAAAACUGUUUUUCACAUGACAUACGAAUGAGAGGUGACAUAGCUCAAUGAUAGACUUGCAGGCUUAGAUGUAAGUGGCCCUUUAUUCAACACCAGCACAAAUGCCUAGAUUCCCCAAAUGAGAAGUUUACACAAGGGUCAAUGACAGUGAAAUAUAGUCAGUCUUCCCGAUGGUUUGGAUAAAGUACAUAACAACAUGUUAGGUCAGCAGAUGUUACUAGAGAGCCUCCGUUGUGAUUACCUUCUUCUCUAUUUUGUUUUGUUUUAAUGUUAUGACAUUAUUGAAUGACUGUAAGAGUGAAUGACACUGCACCUCCUCCUAUCUGGAAAGAUCUAUUCCUCCUGGACUUGCUGAUUGCCUCAAUUCAGACUUUGGAUCCAUCCUGGUAAUAAAGAAAAUGUACAGGCACAGAAACCAAGAAGGCACUAAAAUAGAUGCAGCAGAGUCAGCAUCUAAGAGACAAAGUUUCCAUGGAAAUCAAGGUUCAUGCAUUCCAGCCAAGAAUCAACUUUGAACUUCUGAUAUAGCUACCUCCAUUUCUUGAGUGCUGGGAUUAUAGGUGUACACAAAAAUGUACAGUUUAUGCCAUGCCAAGGAAUGAACCUCGUAUGUGCUAAAGCAAGGACUCUACUAAGGAACUGUUACAGACUUGCCACAGUCCAAAGCUACAUCUGUCUCUGAACAGGAAAGAAAAAAAAAUAAAGCAUAUGGUGAGCUUUAUACUUUUUGCAACAGCUAAGUGUUUAAAUGGU